GAUGAACGCUGGCGGCGUGCCUAAUACAUGCAAGUCGAGCGAACGGACGAGAAGCUUGCUUUUCUGAUGUUAGCGGCGGACGGGUGAGUAACACGUGGAUAACCUACCUAUAAGACUGGGAUAACUUCGGGAAACCGGAGCUAAUACCGGAUAAUAUAUUGAACCGCAUGGUUCAAUAGUGAAAGACGGUUUUGCUGUCACUUAUAGAUGGAUCCGCGCCGCAUUAGCUAGUUGGUAAGGUAACGGCUUACCAAGGCAACGAUGCGUAGCCGACCUGAGAGGGUGAUCGGCCACACUGGAACUGAGACACGGUCCAGACUCCUACGGGAGGCAGCAGUAGGGAAUCUUCCGCAAUGGGCGAAAGCUUGACGGAGCAACGCCGCGUGAGUGAUGAAGGUCUUCGGAUCGUAAAACUCUGUUAUUAGGGAAGAACAAAUGUGUAAGUAACUAUGCACGUCUUGACGGUACCUAAUCAGAAAGCCACGGCUAACUACGUG
rnacentral:rRNA from 1 species